rnacentral:rRNA from 1 species
UACGUAGGGGCCUAGCGUUGUCCGGAUUCAUUGGGCGUAAAGGGUGUGUAGGUGGCGCCGUAAGUCGGGUGUGAAAUUUCGGAGCUUAACUCCGAAACUGCAUUCGAUACUGCGGUGCUUGAGGACUGGAGAGGAGACUGGAAUUCAUGGUGUAGCAGUGAAAUGCGUAGAGAUCAUGAGGAAGACCAGUGGCGAAGGCGGGUCUCUGGACAGUUCCUGACACUGAGACACGAAGGCCAGGGGAGCAAACGGG